GACGUAGGGGGCCAGCGUUGUUCGGAAUUACUGGGUGUAAAGGGUUCGUAGGCGGUGCGGCAAGUCGGGAGUGAAAUCUCUGGGCUCAACUCAGAGACUGCUUCCGAAACUGCUGUGCUGGAGUGUGGGAGAGGCGCGUGGAAUUGCAGGUGUAGCGGUGAAAUGCGUAGAUAUCUGCAGGAACACCCAUGGCGAAAGCGGCGCGCUGGACCACUACUGACGCUGAGGAACGAAAGCUAGGGGAGCAAACAGG
rnacentral:rRNA from 1 species